rnacentral:piRNA from 1 species
CGAACCACGAGGGACUUCUAGGUAGGC